UGAGUAACACGUGAGCAACCUGCCUUUCAGUGGGGGACAACAUUUGGAAACGAAUGCUAAUACCGCAUAAGACCACAGUGUCGCAUGGCACAGGGGUCAAAGGAUUUAUCCGCUGAAAGAUGGGCUCGCGUCCGAUUAGCUAGAUGGUGAGGUAACGGCCCACCAUGGCGACGAUCGGUAGCCGGACUGAGAGGUUGAACGGCCACAUUGGGACUGAGACACGGCCCAAACUCCUACGGGAGGCAGCAUG
rnacentral:rRNA from 1 species